UACAUUUCAUGGUAGCCUAUUUAGGUAUAUCCACCUUAUUCCUAAUUUAAAAUGAACUAACAGCAGCAGAAAAGUCAAAGGACAGCCGACGACAGCCUUUCAACCUGAGUCAAAAACCAGUGAACGUAACUCUGAUUGGCUGAGGCAGCAUAUCGUCAUAAUCCAACCUGUAACGUCAGCCACUCUGAUUGGCUGAGGCAACGUGCCAGGCAUGUGGCGUGUUUUUUUAAGCAGAAAGUAACUACACAGAUAUUCAGCCUGCUUCGCCGUCAUGAUCGCUGGGGAACCCAUCUUUUCCUCUAAAUUGAAGGGGCUGUUAGGAGUGAGGUGUCCUUCGCUGAUGGGAGAAAAAACACCUAAAUAAGAUGCAGUGACUGAGACUGGGAGAUGCAGUGACUGAAACCUGGUGUGUUCCAGAAAAAGGUCCUGAAACUACUGGUCGACAUCCGCCAUCGCCUGAAGGAAACCAGAAGGGGUCAUGAAAUUCGGUUCCACAGCCACUGAGGUGUAUGUACAUCAAGGUGAACCUCAAGCACGCGUCGCAAAGACUUAAAUUCACUUCGCCCUGAUGAGCCAAGCCUACAGGACUUGAAUUAAGAGUUUUAAAGGGAUAGUUCACUUUGAAAUUAUUUUUUGAAAUGUUUUGGCUUACGUCAAGGGCAUCAGUCAGUCAU